rnacentral:rRNA from 1 species
AGAUUGAACGCUGGCGGCAGGCCUAACACAUGCAAGUCGAGCGGUAGAGAGGUGCUUGCACCUCUUGAGAGCGGCGGACGGGUGAGUAAUGCCUAGGAAUCUGCCUAGUGGUGGGGGAUAACGUUCGGAAACGGACGCUAAUACCGCAUACGUCCUACGGGAGAAAGCGGGGGACCUUCGGGCCUCGCGCCAUUAGAUGAGCCUAGGUCGGAUUAGCUAGUUGGUGAGGUAAUGGCUCACCAAGGCGACGAUCCGUAACUGGUCUGAGAGGAUGAUCAGUCACACUGGAACUGAGACACGGUCCAGACUCCGU